GUAACAACUUCCCUUUCAAGAGUCCAAGACCUCAAUUCUUUGGAGAAAAAUGGAUGAAGUUCCAGGGAUGGAAUCCGAGUGAUCGCUAAGGCAAUUCAUAUAUUUUACCCACCUUAGGAUAACUGGUUUAGGAUUGGACAAACAAUCUCAGCUGCUUCAAUCAGACUCACUUCCUUUCAUUCAGAUGGAAGAUGGGAAAACACAAUGCUAUAGACUUUGGAAUAUUGUAUGGGCUCGUAAUCAGCGUACUGAAUUUCAAGCCAUUCCUUGGCCACUCAAUGGCCACUACUAAAUCACACAACCCACCCAACUGGAGAAUUAAAUCAAAUAUCUGGAGCAAUUUAAUGUGCAUGCAUUCGUGGCCACAAAAAUGAAGAUACAAAUAAGUAGGUGAUUAAUUUUUAUUAAAAUCUGAUGAUUUUCUAUAGAAAUAAAUUCAAAUCUAUUAAGUAUAUAACUUCAGGCUAGUGUCAUAAUGCAUUCAAUUUUUGUCUGCAAAAUCUGCUCGUGCACAUCUUUGUUCAAAGAACCACUUGCUACUUAGUGACCUUAACUGAAACAUUAAUUGUUUUGUGUGCCCAAAUUUAAUAGAACCUGGCUAUCAGGGAUGAUGUCACAAAGAACAUUGUUAUUGAAAUGCCAGGAGUUUGUUCUAGGUCCUGCUGUUCACUAAACAAAAAGCCAAUCACUGAGACAAUGAGUAUUGCCAGGGAAGAAGCCUUUAAUUGGGUGCUGCGGCCUGGGAGAUGGGAGAUCAGUCUCCAAUCCAUCUCCCUGGCCAACUAAAAUUAGGGAUUUAUGUGACAGGAAGAAAAGUAACCAUGUAUAGGAAAACAGGAAUUAGGGAGGGGUAAUGAAGCAGAGUUCAUCAAUAGGAAGCAGAUGGUUGGUUAGUUAAUAAUGGCAGGCGAGGGAUAUAACAUCUCAUUGUCCAGCUGUGUUGAUCUGGUAAGUUUCAAUUCCUUGAUGCUAUCUGGGAGGUUUGGUGGCUGGUUUCUUGAUAAAGAAACUCACAUAAGACAAAUGUAACUUUCUCAAGUUUCAAGAUGGGACAGUAAAUUUCUAUGUUUAUUCAAAAGAAACCAUAAACACCAGUUCUAUGGGACAAUUGGGUAGGUUUCACCAUGACUCAUGGAAAUUAGUAUUAGAGACAUUUUGAAUAUUAGUCACAAUAAAAUAGUAGUUAAUAUUUAAGAAGCUGUGCUAAAUUCUUUACAUUCAAUCAAAUUGUUUAAGAUAUAAAAUAUCUGUACAUUUAUAUCCAUAUACAUAAUUAUAUUUCUAUCCAUCUAUCUACCUAUGAAGAUAAAUGAAUAAAGUGAUCAUAUCCUUUUAUUUUAGUCUCUGAUCAUCCUAACACAAUCUACCCAUUAAACUCAAUCUGAUUCCCAACCUCUGCCGACUUGUUUAUCCUCAGCUGAACCAUUGGACUCUCAUUUAUAGGCUUAGUUCUCUUUCAUCCUUAUGACAAAUGCUCUGGCCAUUCAGUAGUAAGAUGAGGAGCUCAAAUUUACCCCUUGAUAUUUACAAUAAUGUUGCCUUAACUUUGUGCUAUAUUCUAAUUCUGCACUAAUGCCUAUUCCUAGAAAUAUGGGCUGGACUUCACACCUCACUUCAGUUGACUGGUAUUCUGUUUUACACUUUGAGUCUCAGUCCUGGUUUAUAACCUCCCUGCUUUUUAUUUUAUUCUAAACAAGGGGUGACAUCUUACUAUUUCUGGGUUCCUCUUAGUACUAAUUCCCUAAUCCUAUACUUCCAUCUGAUGGCUAGGACCUUGACACCCUAUGAUAAUCAUUUCUGCUAUGAUCUUCCUAUGUCAAAACGCAACUUAAAGUUGUCAUGGUUCAUCAGACUAGUGUUUCCCUAAAUUGGACCUUACUGAUGCCUACUAAAGUCAGCUACCCUGAGAGCUACUUGUGGUCUUAAAUUUCUAACUAAUAAACUAUAUCAGGCUCUUGUCCUUCAGGCCUUUCCCUAAUCCCAGGUCCUGCCUAAUUCUAAACUUUUUCACCCACCAUUUUACUCAGUUCUCCUCUUCUUGCUAGGGCCAUAUGCAGGAUUGUGCCAGGUCUCAGGUAAAAAUUUUGUGUGUGUGUGUGUGUGUGUGUGUGUAUGUGUGCAUAUUCAUGUGUGCAUAUCUAUGAGCAUGUGUGUAUGUGUUUACUAUGUUUGAUAAUGAACCAUUAUGCAAGAGACAUUAAUUUUGUUGCUUUGGCUCACUUCAUAUAUUUAUUUUAAUUGCAUGCUCACUUGAAACAGCUUAACUUUCUUUGGUUGAUUUUUAAAUUAAAUUAUAUUUUAUUGGUUGCAAUCACUGUUAUCUUCCCUUGUUUGUUUAUGGUAUUAAUGUCGGGCCUUCAAAGAACUGUGGAAAUACUAAUUAUAGUUUGAGCAUGCAGAUUGGGCCAUCCAUGCAAUUGUUUAUUUCCUCAAACAUUAAUUUACUACUGUGUAGAAAGGUGCCAAAAUAUUCUGAACCCAGACUAAAUGGCUGCAUAGCAUCUUGUGGGCUUCACUUUGGAAAGCACGGCAGGAUCAAAGAGCCAAAAUAUCUGAUUUCUUUCAUGUGUUAUAGCUCAUCUCUAAUGACAGAGUGGAGACUUGUCAAUAUUGCUUCUAUUGCCCAUUUUGAGUGAACUGAUCAAACAUUUCAGGCUCAAUAUGGUCCUGCUAGAGAUCUUACUCUAGGAAUGCUAGAAGAAUAAACAUUACACUUCUGAAAAUUUUACAAAUGUUUGUCAAAGAUUUUGUGCUAAAACUGAGGAUAUACUUACUUGUUUUUGGUUUACUGCUCAGUAUAAUUAUUAUUUAUAAUUUAUAUCUUCAUAUCACCUGUUUGGUAAAACUCCAAGCAUGUGUCUCUAACCUUUGUCAAAUAAAACUGAACUUUCCCCACUUUCACUUAACAAAAUAAAUCUACAUGAUCUCUGUUUAUGUCUUUAACCCUAGAUCCUACUACACUAUUCUCUUCAUCUCUAUUGUUUCUUUCUUUUUUAUUUUAUUUUAUUUUUGAGAGAGAGUUUUGCUCUGUUGCCCAGGCUGGAGUGCAAUGGUGCGAUCUCAGCUCAUUGCAACCUCCACCUCCCAGGUUCAAGCAAUUCUCCUGCCUCAGCAUCCUGAGUAGCUGGAAUUACAGGAGCCCCCCACUAUGCCUUGAUAUAUAUAUAUUUUUUGUAUUUUUAGUAGACACAGGGUUUUACCACGUUGGCCAGGCUGAUCUCUAACUCCUGACCUAAGGUGAUCCGCCUGCCUUGCCUCCCAAAGUGGUGGGAUUACAGGUGUGAGCCACUGCGCCUGGACUCUGUAUUGUUUCUUGAUUGUCUCUCUUGAAUACUCUCCCUCACAGAAUAGGAACAACUGUUUUGGACCCCUCCUCUUAGAUAUCUCUUCUUGUUUUAAUUGCUCAUUUUAUUAAAAAAUAGUUUUAGUCAACAUUCUCAUUAUAAUUUUCAAUAAUACAUACUUGGGUUUUAAAAUGUUGUUAUACAUCUUCCACAGUAGACCAAAACGCUCAUAAGAGCAAGUCCGUUGGUAGAGCAAGUCCAUUUUUUAAUCACAUAAUCACUCUAUCCUGAAUAAUAUCAGCAUAUAAUUAUAUACCAGUGUCUUAAACAGUAGAAUAUCUGAGCAUAUUUUAGAUAUAAUAAACGUAUUCCUCAGCCAGAGUCCACCUAAAGAUAAAAGUACCCAAAUUCCUUCCUUCCCUCCACUAUCUACUCAUGUCCCUGUAACUAUUCCUGUCUUCCACAUGACCCUCCAUGAUAAACUAUUAAGACUUCCAAUCAAUCGCUGAAAUCACCUGCUGGUAACGUUCACUGGCUGAACCCAACCAGAUGCCAGAGAACAAGAGAGCGACUGAUUUACCUUUUUUUUUUUUUUUUUUUUUUUUUUUUGCAUUUUUCAGUGCUUUAUUUACAUCACACACAAUAAGUUGUGUAUAUUUCUCAGAGAGAAAAGUCAUGGUGAGUUAGACGAUACUUCUCAAAUUUUGAUGUGAACAAUAAACUAGAUUAAUUUGUCCUGCAGAGAUUUUUUUCAGGAGAUCUGGAAUAAAGUCUGAGUUUCUAAAUUUCUAGCAAGCUUACCAAUAACACCAUGUUUUGGGCUCAAGAAGAAUAUUGUGCCAAACAUCGAAUAAGUGGAAGAGCCUGGGUUUUUCCCAGUUUUUCUGACCCGUAAACAAAGACGAGAGCCUUCAUUUCCAAAGACAGAUAUGUGCAAAGAAAAUUUAAGUAGGAAGGGAAGCUUCCAGAUUAAAGGUGACAGUUUAUGCACAUUAUCUGGUAAAUCUCCCUAAGAUACUUAAUAAAGAAGAGAAAAACAAUUAACCCUAUAAUAGAAAAAUCUGUCAGAAAGCUCUAUGGCUGAGUAAAUUUAACAUCAACUGUACUAGGACAAAUCUUUAUCAUGUGCUGAUUUACACAGAAAAACACAACAUCACUGCUCUGAUAUUGGUCCCCCAAAAAGUAAAUUAUAAACUAAAUUUAAUUAUAAAGAAACAUCAGUUCUAUGCAAAGUUCAAAAUACAGAUGUCUCCCGUGUUCUGUAAAUUGUUUAACUUUUAUUUUAAGUUCAAAGGUACAUAUGCAGGAUGUACAGGUAUUUUACAUAGGUAAACCUGUGUCAUGGUGGUUGGUUGCAAAGAUUAUUUCAUCACCCAGGCAUUACACCUAGUAUCCAUUAGUAAUUUUUCCCCCUUCUCUCCCUCCUCCCAUCCUCUGCCCUCCGAUAUGCCCCAGUGUGUGUUAUUCCCCUGUAUGUGUCCAUGUGUUCUCAUCAUUUAGCUCCCACUUAUAACUGAGAACGGCAGUAUUUGGUAUUCUGUUUCUGCAUUAGUUUGCUAUGGAUAAUGGCUUCCAGCUCCAUCCAUGUUCCUGUAAACGACAUUAUCUCAUCAUAUUUUAUGGCUGCAUAGUAGUCCGUGGUACCAUAUUUUCUUUAUCCAGUCUAUCAUUGAUGGGUAUUUGGAUUGAUUGAUGUCUUUGUUAUUGUGAAUAAUGCUACAAUAAACAUAUGUGUGCAUGAGUCUUUAUAAUAGAACAAUUUGUAUUCCUUUGGGUAUCUACUCAACAAUGGGAUUGUUGGGUUGAAUGGUAGUUCAGUCUUUAAGGACUCACCACACUCUUCCACAAUGAUUGAACUAAUUUACACUCCCACCAACAGUGUAAAACAAUUCCUUUUUCUCCACAACCUAACCAGCAUCUGUUAUUCUUUGACUUUUUAAAUAAUAGCCAUUCUUUUGUGAGAUAGUAUCUCAUUGUGAUUUUGAUUUGCAUUUCUCUAAUGAUCAGUUAUUUUGAGCUUUUCUCAUGAUUGUUUGCCGCAUGUGGAUCUUUUUUUGAGAAAUGUCUGUUUAUGUCCCUUGCCCUCAUUUUAAUGGAAUUGUUUUUUUUCUUCCUUGUAAAUUGGUUUAAAUUCCUUAUAGGUGCUGGAUAUUAGACCUUCGUCAGACACAUAGACCAGUGGAACAGAAUAGAGAACCCAGAAAUUAGAUCACUCAUCUUCAACCAUCCAAUCUUCGACAAACCUGACAAAAAGCAAUGGGGAAAGGACUCCCUGUUCAAUAAAUGGUGCUGGGAGAAAUGGCUGGCCAUAUUGUGUCUAGAAUUUAUUCCUUCCAGUGGGUUCUUGGUCUCGCUGGCUUCAAGAAUGGAGCCGCAGACCUUUGCAGUGAGUGUUACAGCUCAUAAAGGUGUUGCAGACCCAAAGAGUGAGCAGCAGCAAGAUUUACUGUGAAGAGCGAAAGAACAAAGCUUCCACAGCAUGGAAGGGCACUUUCCGCUGCUGGCUCAGGUGGCCAGCUUUUAUUCCCUUAUUUGGCCCCACCCACAUCCUGCUGACUGGUCCAUUUUACAGAGCCCUGAUUGGUCCAUUUUACAGAGUGCUGAUUGGUGUGUUUACAAUCCUUUAUCUAGACACUGAGCACUGAUUGGUGCGUUUUUACAGAGGGCUGAUCAGUGCGUUUAUUUUCCUUUAGCUAGACACAGAGCGCUGAUUGGUGCGUUUUUACAGAGUGCUGAUUGGUGCAUUGACAAUCCUUUAGCUAGACACAGAGUGCUGAUUGGUGCAUUUUUACAGAGUGCUGAUUGGUGCAUUUACAAUCCUUGAGCUAGACACAGAGCGCUGAUUGCGUUUACAAUCCUCUAGCUAGAUAGAAAAGUUCUCCAAGUCCCCACUUGACCCAGGAAGUCCAGCUGGCUUCACUUCUCAAUAUGUAGAAAAUUGAAACUGGACCCCUUCCUUACACCACAUACAAAUAUUAAAUCAAAAGAGAUUAAAAACCUAAAUGUAAAACUCAAAACUAAGAAAACCUUGAAAGACAGCUGAGGCAAUACCAUUCGGGACAUAGGCCAUGAGCAAAGAUUUCAUGAGAAAAAUGCCAAAGGCAACUGCAAGAAAACAAAAAAUUGACAAAUGGGACCUAACUAAACUGAAGAACUCUGCACAGCAAAAGAAACUGUCUGCAGAGUAAACAGACCACCUACAGAAUGGGAGAAAAUGUUUGCACUGAUUUACUUUCACAAAGUCAGUUUGUGAAAGAAAAAGAGAACAAGUGGAAUUUGAAAGGCAAUGGCUAAUUUCUUAUGCAUCAGUGAAGACAUUGGAAUCCAAUAGAGUUGAGUGCAAAGCCCACCCUGCCCCAAUUCUGUGCCUAUAAAGACCUCAGGCUCAGCCAGCAGAGAGGAAAAGUGGCUGGAUGUUGAGAGAGGCAGUUUGACUCCAGAGAUGGCAGCUGGAUGUCGGAAAGCAGCAACUUGACUUCACAAGAGAGAGGCAGAGGUGACUUAAUAUCAGAGGAGAGCAACCUGCCCUUCCCAUCCCCUUUCCAUCUCCCCUCUUGCUGAGAGCCGCUCUCGUCACGCAAUAAAAUUCACCACAUUCACCAUCCUUCAAUUUAUAUUUGCGACCUCAUUCCUCUUGGGCACCGGACAAGAAUUUGGGAUGCACCAAGUGUGGACACCCACAAAGGCUGUCACAGUGGCCCUUUGCCAUUGCCAGCAGAGGGCAGCUGCCCCAUGCAAUAAGCCAAAGGGCUGGCUGAGCUGAUAACACACUGCUUUCUGUGGACGGCGGCGGAGCUAAAAGAGUAUUGUAACAUGCCCUCUGGGGCCUUGGGGAACCCCACCUGGAUCCUGCCAAGAGGCCUGCAUGAAGUUUGCUCCUGCCAGCACUAAAGCAGCCAGUUUUUUCCUGCACUCACUCACCUGCACACUUCCUCCUGCGAUGGGUGGGACACAGUCAACCUGAGUGAGCAGAGUUUGCUCAUGCAGGCACCUAAAUUGCUGGCAAGUUCCUGAGCUCAUUCGCUUCAAUUCCCGUACUCAUUUGCAUGGGUGCUCCCUCCCACAAGGGGUUGAACAGGACAGGUUGAGUAAAUGGUGCACCCCUCUUUUGAGUCCCACCAAGGGUCAAGAAAAUAUCCUGCAUCACUUUGUCAACUUAUGCCACUUAAAGGACAUGCUGCCUACUUUAGACUUAUUUACAAGUUUGCAUAAUUUUUAGACAUAGACAACGCCGUUUAUCUCUGCAAUUACUAUCAAUUCUAACCUAGGAAGCACCAAGUUAAUGGCAAUAAAAAAAAAAAGAAUAAACAACUGUUUCCAGCAACAAGGUGACUGUACCAGUAAUUAAUUUAUUGCCUUCCAGAGGCAAAUUCACUAUUGCCUGUUCUGAGAAAAAGAAUCUGGGCCCUUCAAAUAGCUGCCAGAAUGUAAAAACUUGCCAGCAGAUGGUGGUGGAGAGAUGCUGGAGGUGGAAGGGAUUUCAUCCCAGGUCUGGUAUGCUCCCUCAUCAGGCUCUCACAGUGGAACACACCUUCUCCAACACCUGGCUCCUGUUCAGCAGCACCCAGAGACCAUCAGCUUCCUUUUGCACUCCUUUCAGAUAAUUUAGCAGUUGAGUCUCUCUGGAAAAAUCAAUAGCUUUCCAUGACACCCCAGAGGAUGAAUCUCCUGCCUGCCCAAAAGGCAUAUUUUCAGCAAUUUCUUCCAGUACAGCCCCACUGCAACUACUCUGCCACCCAGUGAGAGCCACAUUCUCUUUUCUUUUUUUUCUUUUUUUUAAUUUUUGAUUUCCAACUUUUAAGCUCAAGGGAACAUGUUCAGGAUAUAGAGUGUGCAGUUUGGUACAUAGGUAAACAUGUGCCUUGUGGUUUGCUGCACAGAUCAUCCCAUCACCUAGGUAUUAAGCCCAGCAUCCAUUAGCUGUUCUUCCUGAUGCUCUCCCUCCUCCCAUGCCCCACCCUCCAACAGGCCCUAGUCUGUGUUGUUCUCUCCCCGGCAAUUCCUCAAAGACUUAGAGGCAGAAAUACCAUUUGACCCAGCAAUCCCAUUAUUGGGUAUAUACCCAAAGGAAUAUAAAUCAUUCAAUCAGGAACAUAUACGCAUGUGUACGUUCACUGCAGCACUAUUCACAAUAGCAAAGACAUGGAAUCAACCUAAAUGUCCAUCAAUGAUAGACUGGAUAAAGAAAAUAUGGUACAUACACACCAUGGAAUACUAUGCAGUCACAAAAAGGAAUGAGAUCAUGUCUUUUGUAGGGACAUGGAUGGGGCUGGAAGUCAUUAUCCUCAGAAAACUAAUGCAGGAACAGAAAAACCAAACAGUGCAUGUUCUCACUUAUAUGUGGGAGCUGAGUGUUGAGAACACAUGGACACAUGGUAGUGAGCCACAUUCUUACCCUUUCCAAUAAGGCUUGAAUCUCAUCUUGGUAGGGAGGGAGCAGUCUUACUGGAUGCUGUAUUUCAGCACCAGGGAUUGGAGAACACUCCCUCACUUUUGCAUCAGCUAAUCCUGUACUCUAUAAAAUUCUUUUCAUUUAUUACAAUCCUAUUCCUCCAUACACAAAUCUCCUGUUAAAAUUAAUAACUUUUAUAUCAAACUUCCUCUGUUCACAUUACUGUGUUGGUUUCUCCCUCCUGAUUGGAUCACAACUGAUACAAUUGGGUUAAAUACUUUUUCAUAAAAUAAAUUAUUAAAUCCAUUCCUUUAGUGUGUAAGUAUUUAGAGUUUACAAAUUACUGAGAUUUAAUUCUACAAAUUAUACAUAUUUACAAUCUAGGUGAAGGCACUCAAGAGAUAUUUAAACAUUUCCCCUCUAAGACAUCAGUUUAAAGAAAGACAGAAAGAAAGAAAGAAAGAAAGAAAGAAAGAAAGAAAGAAAGAAAGAAAGAAAGAAAGAAAGAAAACCCUUUGCUAGCACAAAACAGUCCCCAAAACCUUACUGUUGGGGUUGAGAAACUGAUACCUCCUAUGGCACUUUGGAAUGCUGAGUACUUUGAAUCAAAGGAGUUGAAAGACCAUAGAAGCAACUUCAGAACCAAUGUCACUCUGACCUCCUGCUCUUCUGUCUCUUACCCUCUUUCUCCUGCAAUAGUGCAAGGAGGGGCUCUCCCUGAACUUUCCUUAUCUGUCUAAAGAUUGGCCCUCUAGAAAGAAUACACUUGUCAUGAGUGUUUUUCCUGGGAAUCUCAUCAGCCAGGGAAAAGUAAAAGUAUCACAGGGGAGGAAACUGAAAGUUGACAACAUGCCCAGGCAGAUUUUAUCACAGACUAUCGCCUCUUUUUCUGAGACUGUUUAUUACCUGAAAGACCUUUUGUUUGCAUAACAAGACAACCUUUGUUCACCCUGCAUUUUCUCCCCUCACUCUCCCAUAACUUGUGUCACCACCAACCCUAGAAUCCCCAGGCCUGUAUUCCUUUCUUCAGCUCAAGAUGUUAUAUAUGUUUCAAUCAUCUGCCCCCUUUUCAAGUCUCAUAUUUUGUGGGACUCCUAUGUGUAUGCAAAUAAUUAAAAUGUUUUUUUCUCCUGUUAGUAAUUAUCAAACCUUCAGAGGAUAAAGAAAGUUUCCUUUCUCUAUAUUAAUAAUCUCUAGUCCCAACAUUCCAUUCCUCAUUCCCCAGCAUUCACACACACAUUUCCAUGCUGCUUUUCAACAAAAAGUUUUAUUUCCUGCAGUGUAGCAAAAUAACAUGAUUCUAAGUUCUCUUUUAUAAAAUCUGUUAGCUAUUAUAAUUCCUUCACUCACUUUCCCCUUUGUAAUAAAUUUUUCCCCAUCCAUUAAAAUAAUAUGGGCUUAGUAGAAUGCUUAAAAAAUAAAGAUCCACAUGAAAAAUUUAAAGUCAUGUAUAAACAUAUAAUUUAGUGAUAAUUAGUGUUAACAUUUUGGCUCAUUUUCUCUUUGCCUUUGUAAAAUUACAUUAGUCUUGGAUUUGUUUCUUUUCCUACCCCUAUCACAAAAGAUGCUCCUCUUCAUCCAUGGUUACUAUUUUAGUGUGCCCUAAAGGAUAUCACAGCUGAUAUGUCAGGCUACAGUUGUAACUUCCCUAAAAUUAUGACCUUCUUCUAUCGUUGAUGUUGUCACCACGUGGUAAUGAAAUCUUAGGAUAUUAUAAAUAGUUUGGUAUUUGAUUCUCAUAUUUAAUAAUGAAUCUAGAGAUUUCAGGGAAGAAAUAAAGUUGAUAUUGUUUGGAUAUUUGUUCCCUUUAAAUGUCAUCUUGAAAUUUGAUCCUCAGUGUUGGAGGUGGAGCUUAGUGAAAGGCAUCUAGGUCAUGCAGCACUCCUAGCACCUCCAAGGUCUGCUUUUUCAAAAGAGUCUGGAGCCUCCCUUUAUUCACUUUUUCCUUCUCUCUCACCGUGUGUUGGUUUCUCUCCUUUCCCUUCUGCCAUGAGUGAAAACUUUCUGAAGCCCUCAUCAGAAGCAGAUGCUGGUACCAUGCUUGCACAGCCUGCACGAGUGUAAGCCAAAUAAACCUCUUUUCUUUAUAAAUUCCUCAGCCUCAUAGUAUUCCUUUACAGCUAUGCAAAUGGACUAAGACAAGAGUUGAUCCCCUUCAACCACACAGAAAAAGACUUCCACUUUGUUGAAUUUGCUUCAUUUACAAACAAAACUCUAAUAAUAAUAGUAUACAGAGAAUUAAAGAAUACAAUUGAUCAUAUGCACUGACUUAGAAAAGGAAUGCACAUGGGAUGGCAAAAUAGAGAAGGCUUCUUGUGAGUGUGUGGGGGAGGCAGGAUAGGGUUAUCUGGGUCUUUAAAAAAACACUUGACUUAAGCAGAGAGGGCUAUGAGAGGGCUUAAUAAAAGUACAGAGGUAGAAAUACAGAAGAGGUAUAAAAAUAACAAAUAGUCUUAUGUGAUUACAACUUGACAUAUGUAAUUUAGCGGAAGCAUUUUCUACUUCUGAAACAAAUUAUGAUUAACACUUCCUGUAAUAGGUUUAUAAUUAUGUAAACCUAUUUAAAUCAAUCAUUUGCACAACAAAAUGAAUGAAUUAAUUUGUUGCAGCUGUGUUUACUGAGGCACACAUGUAAAGCAAUUUUAAAUGCUGUCAAGUAACAAUGAUUUCGUUUCAUGACUCACACUAAGUGAGAAAUUCUGAUUUUUUUAAGACAAAGUUUAAAAAAUCAAAAACUUAAAACUCCUGGAACUAAAAGCAUAGAAGAAAAGCUUCAUGACAUAGGACAUGACAAUGUGUUCUCACAUAUGACACCAAAGCACAGGGAAAGAAAGCAAAAGUAGAAAAGGGACUAUAUCAAACUCAAAAACUUUUGUGCAUUGAAGGACACACCUAACAGCCUGAAAAGGCAACCUAUGGAGUAGGAGAAAAUAUUUGCAAAUCAUAUAUAUCUAUACAUAUAUAUGGAUAUGAUAGUAAAUUGUUAUACAGAAAAUAUAAAAAGAACUUCUAUAACUCAAUAACAAAAAUCAAAUAACUUAUUUUUUUAAAUGGGCUAAGGACUUGAAUAGAUAUUUCUCCAAAAGUAAUACGCAAAUGGACCACAGUCAUAUAAAACAAAUAUUUGACAUCAUAAAUAAUUAGGGAAAUGCAAGUUAAAAUCACAAGAUAUCAUCUUACAUUCACUAGUAUGACUGCUAUCAAAAAAAUGAAACAAAACAGAAAAUAACAAAUGUUAGUGAGAAUGUGGAGAAAUUGGAACCCUAGUACACUGUUGGCGGGAUUGUGCAACCACUAUGCAAAAAUUAUAAAAAAUUAAAAAUAGAACUACCAUAUUACCCAACAAUUCCACAUCUGGGAUUUUAACCAAUACUUUUAACCAAAAGUAUUGAAAGAAGAGUCUCAAAGAGAUAUUUGAACACUCAUGUUUAUAGAAGCACUAUUUAAAACACCAACAAGUAGAAGCAGCCCAAAUAUCCAUUGACAAGUGAAUGGAUGAAGGAAAUGUAGUAUAUACACAUACAAUGGAAUAUUAUUCACCCCUAAAAAGGAAAUCUUGUCACAUACUACAGCAGGGAUAAGCCUGAAUGAUAUGCUAAAUAAAUAAGCCAGUCACAAUAAGACAAAUACUGUAUGAUUCAACUUCUAUAAAAUGGUGAUUACUAGGGACUGAGGUGAAAAAGUUCUAGAUAUAUGUAUUACAACAAGUUGAAUAUACUUAAAACUACUGAAUUGCACUCUUAAAAUGAUUAAAAUGAAGAAAAUACAUGUUUUUAACUACAAUUUAAUUUUUUUUAAAUCACAAAUUUAGUGAUAGGUAUGUGGCUUUAUAGAUGUUUUAAUCCAAACUUCACAUUUUAACAAUAAAAGUACUAGGACCUUAGAAGAUGGGUGACUGGUUUCAGAUUAUCCAGUCAAGAUGAAAAUUUAUGCCUUCCAAAUUACCACAUCUUAGGUGUCUUCAUCUGCUAGCUUAAUCCCAGGUUGUUCCUGGACUAUCUCUACAUCAAGCAGUGAAAGCUUAACUCCCUUCAUGUUUUACGAUGGAUAAAUAUGUGAGGUGAAAAUCAAGAGGCUAGCAUUGACCCAAUGUACAUCAUCUAUCAAGGAGACAAUGUUCGUUUGUUCUUUGAUGAAUCUCUAAGACAACAUUGUCAUGAUUUUGUUUUCAUCACACAUUUGCAUUAGGU
rnacentral:lncRNA from 1 species